UAGGAAGUGAGCAGAAUGGGCUGGAAUUUAGCAGGCAGAUUAAAACCGAAGACCUCAGCGACUCCUUGCAAUCUACAAUUCCCCCCAGAUCUGGUCACCUUGUACAGGGAUCAUCAAUGAUGCCUGGAAGCCAAAUAGCAGGGGAUAUGAGCUCUCUUCACACCCUGCAGCAGCUUGUAUUGCUUCCUGGUCAUAUGCAGUCAGUUCCCCAGUUUCUUCUCUCUCAGUCCCAGGCAGGGCAACAAGGUAAGAGCAAGAAAAGCUGAAAGGGGUAUUGUUAUAAGCAGAUACAUAUCUAGCAAGAACCUCCC
rnacentral:lncRNA from 1 species